rnacentral:rRNA from 1 species
GACAGCAGUCGCCACGGUAAUACGUAGGUGGCAAGCGUUGUCCGGAAUUACUGGGCGUAAAGGGCUCGCAGGCGGUUUCUUGAGUCUGAUGUGAAAGCCCCCGGCUCAACCGGGGAGGGUCAUUGGAAACUGGGAAACUUGAGUGCAGAAGAGGAGAGUGGAAUUCCACGUGUAGCGGUGAAAUGCGUAGAGAUGUGGAGGAACACCAGUGGCGAAGGCGACUCUCUGGUCUGUAACUGACGCUGAGGAGCGAAAGCGUGGGGAGCGAACAGGAUUAGAUACCCGCGUAGUCCCUGUCUCUUAUAC